AGAGCGAACGCUGGCGGCAGGCUUAACACAUGCAAGUCGAGCGGGCGUAGCAAUACGUCAGCGGCAGACGGGUGAGUAACGCGUGGGAACAUACCUUUUGGUUCGGAACAACACAGGGAAACUUGUGCUAAUACCGGAUAAGCCCUUACGGGGAAAGAUUUAUCGCCGAAAGAUUGGCCCGCGUCUGAUUAGCUAGUUGGUGAGGUAACGGCUCACCAAGGCGACGAUCAGUAGCUGGUCUGAGAGGAUGAUCAGCCACAUUGGGACUGAGACACGGCCCAAACUCCUACGGGAGGCAGCAGUGGGAAUAUUGGACAAUGGGCGCAAGCCUGAUCCAGCCAUGCCGCGUGAGUGAUGAAGGCCCUAGGGUUGUAAAGCUCUUUGUGCGGAAGAUAAUGACGGUACCGCAAGAAUAACGCCCCGGCUAACUUCGUGCCAGCAGCCGC
rnacentral:rRNA from 1 species